AAGAGCAGGGCAUGUAUGAGUAGUUGCGAAUGGUGAAUAGAAGUCUGUCUAGACAGAAGAUAGUAGGGAUGACAAGUUUUUGGGGGCACAGUCUAAGUUGGUCUGGGGUCUGGAAUGAGACUGGGGCUUAAUAAAAAGGAGCAUCCAUACAGGAGCUCAAAUGGGCUGUACCCUGUAGCAUUCCAAGGACAGGCCUGAAUUCUGAGAAGGGAAAGUGGUAAAAGUAUUUCCAGUCCUUUUUAAGUUGGUGACUGAGCUUGGUGAGGUGUGUUUUUAAAAGACCAUUAGUCUGUUCUACCUUUCCUGAAGACUGAGGUCCGUAAGGGAUAUAAAUGUUUCACUUGAGCAUAGUUUGUGAUUUUUAGGGCCUCUAAAAGUAUGAAAGCAGCGGCAGCUGCUG
rnacentral:lncRNA from 10 species